rnacentral:lncRNA from 1 species
AAAUAUCGAAAUAUUAUGGAUAUUUUAGACCAUUUGCAAGUGAUGUAUUCAAUUGCACAAAGGCUGCCCUUAUUCUCUCAUCUGCACCGACAGAGAAAAGAAAGGCCUAAUCCAAUUUUUUCUGGAGCAAGCCGCCACAUACAAUUGUAGCAGAGCAAGAGGCAUUAGACGAUAAGAUUAAAAAAAGAGAGAUGGAAAUCCAGCUUCCUAGAUCAAAUUCCAGUUUGAGGGUUUCAAGCAAAAGUAUGAACAUGAGAUAUUUAUUUGAUGAUUAUGAUUUGUUGUGGAGAUUGGCCAAGUGCAGAUUUGGUGGAUGUCCAUUUUGGAGAUGUGACUGUCAUUAAACACUUAGCAGAGCAUUGAAGAGGUAAAUUAAGGAGGCCUACUACUGCAAUGAAUUGAUUCAGAGGUAUAAGGCUAGGGGUGAUGGCAGUGAGAUAUCAAUGAGAAGGAGUUAAAAGUUUCUUCCAUUUCUCUUCUUCAUGCUUGCCAAUUAAUGGGUUUUAAAACCUUUGUUGGUUAUGGAAAAGGAAAGAGGAGGGGGAGGAAAAAAAAAAAGAGAACUGAUCAAGAUUCGAAGAAGCAGAGACAAAGGGAAGAAGGUAGCGGCAAAGCAAGAGAUUUUCAGGCUUUUUUAAACUUAGUUUUCUUUUAAUUUUAUGAAUUCAAUAAUAUUUUUUAUUAUGUUUCGGAACUAAUUUUUCAUAGCUAGGGCUAUGAUGUAGCCUUGACUAUGAAUGCUUAAAUUCUGAAUUGAAUUAUUUUCAAGUUUUCAAUUUUCAUUGAGUAUCGUUUGCUGUGCUUAUAUGCUUGGUUUUAGCAUUGGUGAUUAGCUACCAUAUUGACUUUUACUUAGUAAAUGUGAUGCAAGUUAUGUAGAUG